AAAACAAACAAAGACACAUAUAGAUUGAAUUGUCAUAAUGUAGGACAUUUUUGAUGAUUGCUUCACUCUCAUACAGUUGAGAGGUCAUGAGAUUUUAUUUUUGUGAUGCGUGUCACUGCAACUAAUGUAUUUUUGGGGGACCUACAAACACUAGACCUUAACUGUAAAUUCACACAGGGCGCAAGCGUUAACGCUUAGCGGAUGGCGUGUCUGAAGCAUGGCGCUCACAGCACCUCAGAAAUGAGAAUGUAAAUGUGCUUUGAGAUUGUUUAGAAAGAUUUGUCCUAAAUAACAGUCUAAACUAAAAAAAUACAUUUACCAUGUUAACUUUAUCAGGUCUAUCAAAAGAAGGAUUUUAUUAUUUUAAUUUAAAAUAUCUGCUAAUGAUGAGGACAUUUUGAUUAUUAUUUAUAGGACUGCAUAACGAUUAAUCGCAAUUAAUCGUUUGCAGAAUAAAAGUUUUUGUUUACAUCAUAUGUGUGUGUGUACUGUGUAUAAUAAUUAUGUAUAAAUAAAUACAAACGCAUGUAUAUAUUUAAGAGGUAUUUACAUGUGUACAUACAUUUUUAUAAUUAUAUAUAUUAUUUAUAAAUAUUUAUUCCAUAAAUAUAUUUUCCUUAAAAUUAUACAUGGUUGUGUUUAUUUAUAUUAUAUAAUUAUUAUACACAGUACACACACACAUAUAUAAUGUAAACAAAAACUUGUAUUCUGCAAACGAUUAAUCAUGAUUAAUCGUUAUGCAGCCCUAAUUAUGUACAAACAGAAAAUUGGCCAAACAUAUCGGCCAUAAUACAGAAGUAUAAAGACAAUAAUUUGUCUUUUUGCACCUCCCUUUGUUCAUGUGGUCAAUAUUUUUCCCUGUGUCAUUUCACAUUAUUACACAUUAUUAACUUAAUUUCUAAACUUAUUUGUUUUGGUUUCUUUGUAUGUAUGUAUUACUUGGUUAAGGAUUGUGUGUAUAUUUCUUUCAUGUGUAAUCAAUGUCUGAUGUGGUAUGUCCCACAGACAGAACUUUGGGUUAAGAAUGUAGAAGGAUGACACAACAUCACUCCUGAAGAAUGCUACAUAAGAACUUUCAUUAAAUCUCUUUUCCCCAUAAGCACUUGGUCCUACUUAUUAUUUUACAUAUUAGAUGCAUUCUAAUGCAUUGGCGAGCCCUGAUAGACUGAGCAGCCAAAUUCAAGAAAAUCUAACAAUUUGGCAAAGCCAGCCAGGAGAGACGGAUAAGAAGAACACUCAUCACUGCAACAAUAGGAGAACAGAAGAAUUUCCAAGAUCCUAGUUUCUGAAGAUUACUGAAGACAAACAGACUAUGUUGGUGGACUGUGUUGUGGAAGAAACUUCUUUAAAGACUUUGUCUUAAAAGUCUUAAUUUGGUGUUCCAGAGAAUAAGCAAGACCACUGAUGUUUGACACCUUCACCACAUUGCAUCUACCACCAAGCUGAAACCUGGGAAGAUCCUCAGAGCACAUCUACGUCCACCAUUUUUACAUUACCCUAAUUUGCAAAUAACCUGCAGGACUCAGCAGAGUGCAAAAAGAACAGAACACAAAAACACCUCCGCCAAGUCCACAUGAUCACAACCUUAAAAUGAAAGUUUAUAAAGGACAUUUUUAAAUUGAAAAAUUUUUCAGAGAUCACAACAAGACCCUAACAUUGGGUUGUUACCAAGUAAAAACAAUAAACAUACACAUACCUGUG